GUGAGGAAUAUUGGUCAAUGGACGAGAGUCUGAACCAGCCAAGUCGCGUGAAGGAAGACGGUUCUAUGAAUUGUAAACUUCUUUUGUGCAGGAAUAAAGUGGGUUACGUGUAACCUUUUGUAUGUACUGUACGAAUAAGGAUCGGCUAACUCCGUGCCAGCAGCCGCGGUAAUACGGAGGAUCCGAGCGUUAUCCGGAUUUAUUGGGUUUAAUGGGUGCGUAGGUGGAUUGAUAAGUCAGCGGUGAAAGUUUGCAGCUUAACUGUAAAAUUGCCGUUGAAACUGUCGGUCUUGAGUGCAAAUGAGGUAGGCGGAAUGUGUUGUGUAGCGGUGAAAUGCUUAGAUAUAACACAGAACUCCGAUUGCGAAGGCAGCUUACUGGGAUGCAACUGACACUGAUGCACGAAAGCGUGGGUAUCAAACAGGAUUAGAAACCCGUGUAGUCC
rnacentral:rRNA from 1 species